AUGGGAAGCAGGUUAAUAUUCCUGCACCGUCGUAUGAUGCGAUGGGGGGACGGAUCGCGGAAGGUUGUCUGACUGUUGGAAUAGUCAGUUUCUGGUUCAUAGGAGGUACUUAGGCAAAUCCGGGUACAUAAUCCAAGGGGCUGGGACGAGUGAACUUGUUCACGUAGCAAUCGGAAGUGGUUCCAAGAAAAGCCUCUAAGCUUCAGUCAUACGAGACCGUACCGCAAACCGACACAGGUGGGCGAGAUGAGUAUU
rnacentral:rRNA from 1 species